GAUGAACGCUAGCUACAGGCUUAACACAUGCAAGUCGAGGGGCAGCGCAGUGUAGCAAUACAUGGGCGGCGACCGGCGCACGGGUGCGUAACGCGUAUCCAACCUUCCCGUUACUCAGGGAUAGCCUUCCGAAAGGGAGAUUAAUACCUGAUGGUGUUCAAAUUCCGCAUGUUAUUUGAACUAAAGAUUCAUCGGUAACGGAUGGGGAUGCGUGACAUUAGAUAGUAGGCGGGGUAACGGCCCACCUAGUCUACGAUGUCUAGGGGUUCUGAGAGGAAGGUCCCCCACACUGGAACUGGGACACGGUCCAGACUCCUACGGGAGGCAGCAGUGAGGAAUAUUGGUCAAUGGUCGGAAGACUGAACCAGCCAAGUAGCGUGAAGGAUGAAGGUUCUAUGGAUUGUAAACUUCUUUUAUACGGGAAUAAAACCACCUACGUGUAGGUGCUUGUAUGUACCGUAUGAAUAAGCAUCGGCUAACUCCGUGCCAGCAGCCGCGGUAACAC
rnacentral:rRNA from 1 species